rnacentral:lncRNA from 10 species
UCGAUCUCCUGACCUUGUGAUCCGCCCGUCUCGGCCUCCCAAAGUGCUGGGAUUACAGGCGUGCGCCACCGCGCCUGGCCUUAACUCUACCUUUUAAUUAUCUCUCCAACCUGUGUCCUCGUCUUCAUGCCUAAAUGUAACUACCAUUUCUGGAAUGUGAACUGAGGCCCUGUGCUAAGUGCUUUACAACGAUCCAGGGUCAGACCCAGAUGACUCUCUGUGGCUGAGAUAUUAUCCUUUUGGAGAGGACAAAACUGAGGUCUGUGACUUUAACUGGCUUGCUCCAGGAUUCAUAAGCAAUAAGUAGCUGAGGCUCAAUCAGAGUGACCUCCUGACCCCAAAGGCUGUACUGAGACCCUGGUCUGUACUGUCUCUCUCCCUCCAGCUGCCUAGCCUUGGCCCAGUUCAGGCCCUCACGGUAUCACCUCGAUCACUGCAGCUGCCUCGGUCUCUGCAUGGUCAUUUCCCCCAGACUCAUCCCUCACCCAACAGCCAGAGACAGCAAGCUCACACAUAGAUCCAACUGUGUCACUCCCUAGUUUCCACCUCUUUACUGAUAUCCCACUGCCUAAGUCUACACACCUAACCACAAGCCAGCAAGGCCCUCCCCAGCCUCUGAAUACUUCUGUUAAUAGAGCCUCCCGCCAUUCCUGUCUGCCCAAUCAAUCCUGAAGGCUUGCAUUCCCAGUAGACACCAAGCUGUUACUUUGUCCCUGCCUUCAUCCUCUGAGCCUAGAAUUCCCUCUCCCUCCUCUUUCCUUACUAAUUCCCACUCAUUGCCUGAGAGCAGCUCAGAUAUCCCUUCUGCCAUGCUGAUCCCCACAACCUGGGCUGGUAGCCAUCCUCUAGUUCCCCACAGCUCCCUAUGCGUGAGUCUUCAUGACACAAUAUGGUGAAUACAGGGAUUCUGUACAUAUCUCUGCACUGAGUUCCUAGAAGCCAAGACCAUGUUUGUUCAUUUUCAUAUCUCGUAAGUCCCUGUCUGGGGCUGGGCACACAGAUACCUCUCAGUAAAAGUUGGUUGUUUAAAAGAAUGAAAGGGCCAGGCUUGGUGAUGCUCACCACACCCUCCUUGGAAUCCUCUUUUCUCUUGGCUUCUAGGAUCCCAUGUUCCUUGGUUUUCCUUCCUCUGUCCAUCACUCCUUGGCCUCUGGAGGUCAUCUCCUCCCCCCCUUCCCAACUUCAAAUUGUCUAACAUUUCAGAACCAUCUCUGCAGACCACUGGGAAAUACACAAACCCAGCCUGGGCACCACACCACUCCAUCCAGCUGCCUCCCCGGCCUGUUCCUAGACAGAACUGUUGAUCUAUCCUUAUAAAUAUGCCAUUCUUGGCUGGAUGUGGUGGCUCACACCUGUAAUCCUAGCAUUUUUGGGAGGCUGAGGUGGGAGGACUGCUUGAGCCCAUGAGUUUGAGACCAGCCUGGGCAACAUAGGGAGAACCUGUCUUUACCAAAAAAAAAAAAAAAAAAAUUAGCCGGUCAUGGUGGCAUAUGCCUAUAGUCCCAGCUACUCGGGAAGCUGAGGCAGGAGGAUCACUUGAGCCCGAGUUUGAGACUGCAGUGAACUGUGAUCACAUCACUGUACUCCAGCCACCCUGGGUGACACAGCGAGACCCUGUCUCUAAAAACAAAAACAAAAGCAAAUAUGCCCCUCUCCCAAUCAUCCCUGUCUCAGGAAAUGAAAUCCAUCCUUCUUCCUAGGUGCCCUGUCCAGAAACCUGCCCUUCAAUCCCUGUUCUCUUCUACAUCCAGAACCUGCUCCAUCCAUAGGUCUUGUUGAUUCUUCCUCCAAAAUCCACUUCUAACUUGUCCCUUCUCUCCACACCACUGCCUGGCGGCCUUGUCCAGGCCACCUUUAUCUUUUGCCUGGACGAGUGCAGUUGCUUCCUGACUGCACACUGGGUUUCCAUUCUUAACCUCUCUUAACCAGAGGGGGGCUUUUAAAAAUAUACCACUUUAGUGAGCCGAGAUCAUGCCACCGCACUCCAGCCUGGGAGACAGAGCAAGACUCCAUCUCAAAAAAAAAAAAAACAAAAAUACUGCUUUAGACCCCUCCACAACCACCCACUCCUCUAAGGCCAGUGCCAGAAUUCCUUUGAGGUCUGCCAAAUGCCCAGGGCUACUGACCUCUCUGGUGGCCACUUGUGUCUCCCUUCCUUCCUAGUAACACCACCCUUCUCUCUGGGUUCCUCCAGAGUGCCAGGUUCCCAUCCCCCGGGUCCUUUGCCCGUGCUGUCCCUUCUUCCAGAAUAUUCCCAGCUGCCCUCCCAAUGCUUUACCUGGCCUGUUUCAUUUCCCCUUUGGCCUUAGCUUAACCAUCCAUUCCCAGGAAGUCCCUUCUUUUCUGUCAUUGCUCCCUGUUUGUUCUCUCCAUUCCAUGCUCCACAGAUUACAAAUCUCUGCUUCUAUCUGUGUAGUUCUCUUGCUUCAUCCUCUCUCCACCCCCCUUCUCAUGCACGUUCCCUGAGGGCAGGAAAGGUAACUAACUUCUUCAUGUCUGAAUCCCAGAGAUGGGUACAGUGCCUGACACCCAGCAAGUGCACCACACAGUUGGGCAGUGAAUAAGAAAGAGCAGGUUCCCAGGCAGAGAGGGCAGUGGAGCCAGCCCUUGGGCACCUUUUAGGUGAUUAAAACAGCUGCCUUUGACAUCCUUUCCUCCCAAGAUCCUGUGAUUCUAUGACCUUGCCCAGCCCACUAUGCACAGGAUCUCAGAAUGGGGGCAGAGGGGUGCAAAAGCAAGGUGAUGCCCUUCUGGAAUUUUGUCAGAUCCUUUCCAUGUACAUCGAAGCUGCCUAUCCUGCCCAUUCUGCAGAACAAAAGGCAGGUAGGUAGAGCCCAGGAAGGUGGAGAUUCUAAAACGGCUCUGUCCAACACAGCAGCCACUGGCCACUGCAGCUAUUGUAAAUGCAGCUGUUUAAAUUACUUAGAAUUAAAUAAAACAUUAGCAUUCAGCUCACACUAGGCACUUUUCAAGUGCUUAGUAGCCA